rnacentral:tRNA from 1 species
AGGGCUAUAGCUCAGUUGGUAGAGCAACUCGUUUACGUAUAAUUUGCAUUUUAUCAUUAGUGUAUUGUUUGUUCUUUGUAACU